rnacentral:rRNA from 1 species
GCUUACGGCCACACCGGCCUGAGUACGCCUGAUCUCGUCCGAUUUCGGAAGCUAAGCAGGGUCGGGCCUGGUUAGUACUUGGAUGGGAGACCCGCCUGGGAAUACCAGGUGCUGUAAGCU